rnacentral:piRNA from 1 species
UGGCUCUUAAACAAGAAGACUUCACUUC